GGGGAAUUUUGGACAAUGGGCGCAAGCCUGAUCCAGCAAUGCCGCGUGUGUGAAGAAGGCCUUCGGGUUGUAAAGCACUUUUGUCCGGAAAGAAAACGUCGUGGUUAAUACCCGUGGCGGAUGACGGUACCGGAAGAAUAAGCACCGGCUAACUACGUGCCAGCAGCCGCGGUAAUACGUAGGGUGCAAGCGUUAAUCGGAAUUACUGGGCGUAAAGCGUGCGCAGGCGGUCCGCUAAGACAGAUGUGAAAUCCCCGGGCUUAACCUGGGAACUGCAUUUGUGACUGGCGGGCUAGAGUAUGGCAGAGGGGGGUAGAAUUCCACGUGUAGCAGUGAAAUGCGUAGAGAUGUGGAGGAAUACCGAUGGCGAAGGCAGCCCCCUGGGCCAAUACUGACGCUCAUGCACGAAAGCGUGGGGAGCAAAC
rnacentral:rRNA from 1 species